rnacentral:rRNA from 1 species
UGGGGAAUAUUGGGCAAUGGGCGAAAGGCCUUACCCAGCAACGCCGCGUGAGGGAAGAAGGUUUUCGGAUUGUAAACCUCUGUCCUGGGGGACGAAGGAAGUGACGGUACCCCGGGAGGAAGCCCCGGCUAACUACGUGCC